UUCGCGCACUCCUCGGUGCCAAGCUCUGAAACCACCACGUUGAAUUCAAUAUUUGCCCACGCACCUCAGUAUUUGCGAGUGGUGACAGGCAUGGGAAGGGACCUUCUUUAGAGUGCAGGAACUGAGAGAUGGCCCCAAUCUGUCCCUCUACCCCGGGAGUGGAAGCUGCAAAUGAGAUCACACCGGGAAAUCGAUUUGUAAAUGGCAUAAGACACACUCAUCUAUGUGGAAGAGUCAUCUCCUGCUUUCUGGCAAGCCUGCACCUCUGAGAUUCCUGGAGUGGGUCAGACUAGCACAUUAGCCAAUUUGCUAUUCUGCUUGAUCUCCAGUUUCUCCUCAGGAAAUCUAAACAUGUUAAGUCUCAAUGCUGCAUUUCAACAUACAAAGAACUGGAGAAGGCUGGAAGAGAUGAUGGCUCGGCUGACAAGCACUUGCUGGUGAGGACCUGAGUUUGAAUUCCCAGAACCCACUAAAACUGGAUGCAAUACCUCUGUCGUCCCAGUGAUCCUACAGGGAGACGGGCAGUGGAGACAGAACUCCUAACUCAGCCUAUACAACAGAAACGAAGACACCCCACCUCAAACAAGGAGGAAGGUGAGGACGGACACCCAAGGGCGUCCUCUGACUGCCACGUGUGCACCACAGCACACAUGCCCCCAUUCAUUCUCUCUACCACCCUCUCUCCUACAAAUACACUAGGUCGGGAGAGGAAUAAAUUAAAAACAAACCAAAAACUGGCA